rnacentral:tRNA from 1 species
GGUUUGUAGGUCAGUGGUAGACUGCUUGCCUUGCAUGCAUGAGGCAGUGGGUUCCAUCCUCAGCACCA